CUUUAGAUGAUUAAGUUUUUUUUUGUAAUAAAUAAACUAUAGAUUAUGAGUUUGAUGAGCUACUCAAUAUGUCUAAUGAGGUGAUGUAUGAUUGAACAACCAAAAAGUACUCACCAGUUGGAUGUUGUUGUCCAAGUCUUUUAGAAAUUAACCCAUAUAUUACUAAACAAAUAUUUAGCACGCAUCUUCACUUUUGGUCAAGAUUUAAACACAAAAUCCAAGUGAAAAGGAAGAAUAGAAGAAUAAACAUACGCCUCAAAGACAAUUAUCAUCAUAAUCAUACACCAUCAUCACCUGAGUCGAAUUCUGAAGCAAUAUAUUUAUUGGCAUAAGAACUUGCUUAAAUAUAUAACCUAUACAGAUUAUUAAGUGCAAAUCUCUACAUACCUAUUCUUUAGUAACGACGAAAACAAAAGUUUCAUCUAUUUGAAUGUUCUAAUACAUCAAAUUUUUAUGGAAUAUAAAAAGUGGGAUGGUAUGGAUAUCGUUUAGACUUUAGAUUGUAUACAAAUACAGCUCAAGAGGGAUAGACAAGCAAAGAGGGCAUGAGUUGGGAAAGAACGGUGAAAGAUUAGAAACAACACUGCCUCAAUUUGCUACAAUAUUAGGUCCAAGACACGGAGAGUAGCCAAGAGUUUGACAGUGUUGGAGAGUCUUGCAAGGUCAAGAAAAGGUCUUACAAGGUCAAGAAAAAUGAAAAAGAAAAAAUACAAACAAAUUAAUUUUUUUUUCUUAUAGUUUUAGGUAAAAGCUCAAGUAAGGAUAACACCAUAUCUCACAUUAGAAAACUGCGACCACCUCCUUCACCACCAUCACGGUGGCACCUCUAUCAUGGCAUUGGUGAUGCUUGAAAGUUGCUUUCUUCCAUCUUUUAUAGGUCAAUGCAUAACUUGAGUACCUCCUGCUACACAUAAAGUAAAGCCAAUAAUACUUUUAUAAGCAGAACAAGAGUUAAAAGACAUGUGAACCCAUAAUUCAAUGUCAUCAUAUCAGAUGUUGAAACACAGAUAUAUUGUACGAUCAAGAUAAAGAUAGGAUUUUCUUUGUUUCAAGAAAAUAUAACAUUUUGAUUGGAUACAUUAUCUGGUAAAAGUUACAACUAAUAACCAUUACUUACAGAUUACCUCUCAAGAUAAAAAGGUAUGAUUAUAAUCUUCGAUAGUUGCUAACUAAUUGAGAAAUACACGAAUCUAAACUGAAAUCUUACCAAAAAAAAUCAUCUUUUUCAUAAUAACUACUAUAGGAAGCGUUCUACUUAUGAUUUUUGUAAUUAAUGGAAGUGUUUAUAAAAUUUAAUAUCAAAACAUAACUAUAAUCAGUUUAUCAUCUAUAAAUGUUUUAGGUUUGAUGUCAAAGAAUGUGUAAAGUAAUAGAAGAAAGGGAUUAAUUUAUACCUUGCAAAAGUCUUUGUGUUGGAUUCAUUGCUCAUAACAUUCAUUAUUCGAGAGAGAGAAAGAUGAUCGAUCAGAUGAAUAUAGAGAAGAGGGAUGGCUGGAUGGGGUUGUUUUAUAGGUGGGUGGGAGGGGAUUAGAGGAACCCUGGUUAUAA
rnacentral:lncRNA from 1 species